UGUGUCCUGCAUGAUAGUCUCCCACGGACCCUCCAAAGCCACACAUCGGCAUCCUCGUCCCCAUUUCACAGAUGGUGAGCUGAGGCUCAGAGAGGAACGUGAACAUGGACUCAAGCCCGGGAGUGGACAAGCUUCGGAAUCCGUGGAAUCAGGAGCAAAACCCAAGACCCGGGCCACAGCCUGUCCUGAGAGGGGAGAGUGCAGGCCUACAGACUGCGCCGGGUGGGCCUGUGGGUCAGGGUCAGCAUCAGAAAUGCUGGAUGAGGAUGCUGGAGAGGACGUUGG